rnacentral:rRNA from 1 species
AUUGAACGCUGGCGGCAUGCUUUACACAUGCAAGUCGAACGGUAACAGGCCGCAAGGUGCUGACGAGUGGCGAACGGGUGAGUAAUGCAUCGGAACGUGCCCAGUCGUGGGGGAUAACGCAGCGAAAGCUGUGCUAAUACCGCAUACGAUCUGUGGAUGAAAGCGGGGGCCCGGAAGGCCUCGCGCGAUGGGAGCGGCCGAUGUCAGAUGAGGUAGUUGGUGGGGUAAAGGCUCACCAAGCCGACGAUCGGUAGCUGGUCUGAGAGGACGACCAGCCACACUGGGACUGAGACACGGCCCAGACUCCUACGGGAGGCAGCAGUGGGGAAUUUUGGACAAUGGGCGCAAGCCUGAUCCAGCAAUGCCGCGUGCAGGAAGAAGGCCUUCGGGUCGUAAACUGCUUUUGUACGGAGCGAAAAGGCUCUCUCUAAUACAGGGGGCUCAUGACGGUACCGUAAGAAUAAGCACCGGCUAACUACGUGCCAGCAGCCGCCGUAACAC